GCUGAAAGUGUGUCCCAACUAUUUGCAGUUCUGCAGCACAUCCAUCAAAUAUUCCAUGCAGUUUGGAAUCUGUCAGUUCUUCACUGCUCUUGGUAUAGUUCCACAGGUGGCAACAAUGCAAUUCUCAUGAUGGUCUUUUUCCUCUCACAUCGUGAACGUUGGGACCAUUUGAUCGUGCUUAAAGUGCAAGCUGUGAAUUCUGAAUGGAGCCUAAGUGUCACUCCAAACAGAACUGAAAGUGUUCUCAUCAGCACAAAGCCCAAGAGAAUGCAAUCAGCAUCAACAAUUACAAGAGGGAUUCCUUUAUCAGACGGACGGUGCCUGUGAGGUUGUAUGAGCAAUGACCAGAGGUUUUAGACCAUGCCUCAUUAAUAUUCAUUCUCACUGCUUCACAUAAUUAGACCAGCAUACUGAAUUACACACAUUGAAAUAUUUCAGCC